CGCGUGCAAUGUAAGCAGAAAGUUCUCUCCCGGCCUCUUUCGUCUGUCAUGAAUCUACGAGACAGCCGACAUAAUAUCUGGGCGACAACGGGUGCGCUAACAGUGCAGCUUUGGAAGUUUCUGCUUUGCUUCUUGUGCUUCUGCUGCGGCCUUGAGAAGCAUGUGCCUGGUUCCAAGAGGAGGAUGAAGAACAUAAAGACUGGAGACAUCACAUCUGGGUCACCCCAGCCAAGUUCCGCCUGAGCAAGGAAGCCUGCACUCACCUGGAGAUUCACAAGUGAUAAUGAACAGUCACUGACUGUCUAAAGUCACUGCCUUUGAGAGUGGUUUGUUGUACAGCAGCAAUUAUCUGAUACAGUAAGACUCAUUUGUUCACUCA
ensembl:lncRNA